rfam:Mustela putorius furo unplaced genomic scaffold scaffold00043, whole genome shotgun sequence.
AGCUUUGUGCAGUGGCAGUAUAGUAGCCAAUGAGGUUUAUCCGAGGCGCGAUUAUUGUUAAUUGAAAGUGGCUGCUGAAGCUCCAGCUUUCACUUCUGCAUUCCAGCCUGAAGAAAGUUGAUCUGUUCUCCCUCAAGAAGG